rnacentral:rRNA from 1 species
UAGGGAAUCUUCCGCAAUGGACGCAAGUCUGACGGAGCAACGCCGCGUGAGUGAAGAAGGAUUUCGGUUCGUAAAACUCUGUUGUUAGAGAAGAACAGCGCAUAGAGUAACUGUUAUGCGUGUGACGGUAUCUAACCAGAAAGCCACGGCUAACUACGUGCCAGCAGCCGCGGUAAUACGUAGGUGGCAAGCGUUGUCCGGAUUUAUUGGGCGUAAAGCGAGCGCAGGCGGUUUUUUAAGUCUGAUGUGAAAGCCCACGGCUCAACCAUUGUAGGCUUUGGAAACUGUUUAACUUGAGUGCAGAAGGGGAGAGUGGAAUUCCAUGUGUAGCGGUGAAAUGCGUAGAUAUAUGGAGGAACACCGGUGGCGAAAGCGGCUCUCUGGUCUGUAACUGACGCUGAGGCUCGAAAGCGUGGGGAGCGAACAGG